GACGAACGCUGGCGGCGUGCCUAAUACAUGCAAGUUGAGCGCUGAAGGUUGGUUCUUGUACCAACUGGAUGAGCAGCGAACGGGUGAGUAACGCGUGGGGAAUCUGCCUUUGAGCGGGGGACAACGUUUGGAAACGAAUGCUAAUACCGCAUAAAAACUUUAAACACAAGGUUUAAGUUUGAAAGAUGCAAUUGCAUCACUCAAAGAUGAUCCCGCGUUGUAUUAGCUAGUUGGUGAGGUAAAGGCUCACCAAGGCGAUGAUACAUAGCCGACCUGAGAGGGUGAGUGGCCACACUGGGACUGAGACACGGCCCAAACGCCUACGGGCGGCAGCAGUAGGGAAUCGUCGGGAAGCGACGAAAGUCUGACCGAGCAACGCCGCGGGAGUGAAGAAGGGUGUCGGAUCGUAAAACUCGGUUGGUAGGGAAGAACGUUGGUGCGAGUGGAAAGCUCAUCAAGUGACGGUAACUACCCAGAAAGGGACGGCUAACUACGUG
rnacentral:rRNA from 1 species